AGGUCUGUUGCAAGAGAACGCUGUUGCAAGAGAGAAAUCUCAAAUCAACUAAAAAUCUUCAGAAAGGAUAUUGAACAUAUAAGCACAAGACCAUGCUAAAAUGCAUGAAGUCUGGAGCCAUUGGUGAAGGAAACCAACCCUUAAAAAGUAAUGGCAUAUAAAGUAGUAAAAAUAAUUAGUAAGAAAACAAUUUGCAAAAUAAGAAUCAGCAGUUGCACUACAGCAGGAAAAAUACUUAAUGCAAUAGGGCCUAAAACAUUAACAGAAGCAUAGAAAUAUAAGAAAUGAAGCUCUGAAAUUUUGUGCAUCAUAAAGUCCUACUGAAACAGAAUACAGUUCACAUUAACCAAACAGAACCAUACCUGUACAUUUUUUCUAAUAUUUGA
rnacentral:misc_RNA from 1 species